CAACUUUGAAGCCUUUUGACUCGAGUUGCUAAGCCCAUGGAGUAUCCUUGAUAUACUUAGUGCCCUAAAGUCCUCUGCCAUGGGAGCAUCUGGCCUAAGACUUGUUACAGGUCACUAGAAAGCUUGAUAAAGUUGUGGCUUGUGCUCCAUAAGAAGAAAAAAAAAAAAAAAAAAUACAGCACAAUUGUGAAUCUGUUGAAGUAAGCUUGUGUGCAUUGUCAUUCCUAUCUCUAUUGGUUCACUUUCACACUAAGAACUCCUGUGAACUUUUGCUAACCUUGAUUAUAUGUUGUUGCCUAACAUGCAGAGAUAUUUAAAAACACUUGAUGCUGUGGGUUCUCAUUGUUACUCUUCAAUUUUGACUUGAUAUCUCCUUACAAGCUUUGCUUAGAAAUCGUGUUUGUGACACUGGUUUGAAAAAUUCAUAUCUUGUGUGCCUCAUUGCUCAUUCAUUCUUACCUGUGUUUUUUUUUCAUACAUUCAUGGGAGAAUUCAUAAUUUGGAACUUUUGCCUCCAUUGUUCUUUCUGGGAGUGGUUAUUUGAUGUGCAAGUGGUUAUUUACUUGAGGGGGAGUUUGUCAUUGCCUAUCCAAAAAAGGGGGAGUAAAUGUUCUGAGUCAUUACUUAUUGUAUUUUCAGUCAUACAUGCUUUUCACUGGUUAUUUUUGGUUUAGUGGUGCAGAAUUCAGGUUACCUUCUAUAUUGCAAGUGAUCAUGUUUGAGGAAUUUUUUUCACUCACUUGUAAUUGGUUUAGGGGGAGAGUGUUAGGACCAUUUUUUUUGUAACUAGAGUAUUUGUAUAGGAAAUGCCAAAGGGGGAGAUUGUUAGGACCAAUUUUUGGUAUAUUGGCAAUUUCCUGUUACAAAAACAUAGAGUAGGUCUUUGAGUGUAACUUCCAGUUUCAAGUGACGUUCUGCUAUCCUGGAUUAGUGUGACUCAGAGACAAUGCCAAGCAGUCGUGCCUUGAGGUGUGAGCAGCCGAGACCAGAGUUGUGCCAUCUCUUGUUGACGAAGGAAGACAAGAUCGCUGAU